GACGAACGCUGGCGGCGUGCCUAAUACAUGCAAGUAGAACGCUGAAGGAGGAGCUUGCUUCUCUGGAUGAGUUGCGAACGGGUGAGUAACGCGUAGGUAACCUGCCUGGUAGCGGGGGAUAACUAUUGGAAACGAUAGCUAAUACCGCAUAAUAGUAGAUGUUGCAUGACAUUUGCUUAAAAGGUGCAAUUGCAUCACUACCAGAUGGACCUGCGUUGUAUUAGCUAGUUGGUGGGGUAACGGCUCACCAAGGCGACGAUACAUAGCCGACCUGAGAGGGUGGUCGGCCACACUGGGACUGUGACCCGGCCCAGACUCCUACGGGAGGCAGCAGUAGGGAAUCGUCGGCAAUGGACGGAAGUCUGACCGAGCAACGCCGCGUGAGUGAAGAAGGUUUUCGGAUCGUAAAGCUCUGUUGUAAGAGAAGAACGAGUGUGAGAGUGGAAAGUUCACACUGUGACGGUAUCUUACCAGAAAGGGACGGCUAACUACGUG
rnacentral:rRNA from 1 species